CAGGAUGAACGCUGGCGGCGUGCCUAAUACAUGCAAGUCGAACGAGUUCUCGUUGAUGAUCGGUGCUUGCACCGAGAUUCAACAUGGAACGAGUGGCGGACGGGUGAGUAACACGUGGGUAACCUGCCCUUAAGUGGGGGAUAACAUUUGGAAACAGAUGCUAAUACCGCAUAGAUCCAAGAACCGCAUGGUUCUUGGCUGAAAGAUGGCGUAAGCUAUCGCUUUUGGAUGGACCCGCGGCGUAUUAGCUAGUUGGUGAGGUAACGGCUCACCAAGGCGAUGAUACGUAGCCGAACUGAGAGGUUGAUCGGCCACAUUGGGACUGAGACACGGCCCAAACUCCUACGGGAGGCAGCAGUAGGGAAUCUUCCACAAUGGACGCAAGUCUGAUGGAGCAACGCCGCGUGAGUGAAGAAGGCUUUCGGGUCGUAAAACUCUGUUGUUGGAGAAGAAUGGYCGGCAGAGUAACUGUUGUCGGCGUGACGGUAUCCAACCAGAAAGCCACGGCUAACUACGUGCAACAGG
rnacentral:rRNA from 2 species